UACGUAGGGCGCAAGCGUUGUCCGGAAUUAUUGGGCGUAAAGAGCUCGUAGGCGGUUUGUCGCGUCUGCUGUGAAAACCUAAGGCUCAACCUUGGGCUUGCAGUGGGUACGGGCAGACUAGAGUGCGGUAGGGGUGACUGGAAUUCCUGGUGUAGCGGUGGAAUGCGCAGAUAUCGGGAGGAACACCGAUGGCGAAGGCAGCACUCUGGGCCGGCACUGACGCUGAGGAGCGAAAGCGUGGGGAGCGAACAGG
rnacentral:rRNA from 1 species